UCCCGCCGUCACUCUUUCCCACCACUCCACCAGUACGACUGCCCUAUACAGUUCCCACUUCCCACAACUGUGUCACCAAUUCCGAGUACUCAAACCCUAAUCUAUUUCUUUUCCCCUGCUUACGAAGAUGCAACUCCGCUCUAAUCGUUUACUGCCGGAGCCUACAAUUGACGUUGAUCAUGUUGCUGGCUGCGAUAUGAUAGAUUUAAAUGAGCCUCCAGAAAGUGAAUCAGAUGACAGUGAGUUGGAUGACGGACGUGUUAUCAGAAUAAAAAAGGUCAUUAAAAAAUGGAAAAAGCAUUAUAGGAAAGACACAAUGACAAAUAAAGAGCUCAAUGAUGAGGUAGUUAACACUAUUGAGCCAAGGGCUCAAAGUUUUAAUGGUGUUAGUGGCUUUGAGUUUGUUGAUCCCGAUAAGAUGAUACAACAGAAGAAACGAAAGAAGAACGGGGAGAUUAGGCCAACAUUGAUGUGGGAAAUAUGGGAAGAAGAACAUAGCAGAUGGAUUGAUAAUCAUAUUGCAAAAGAUAUUGAUUUGGAUCAGGAGAACAAUGGAACUGAUGAAAUGCACGAGGAACCCUCAGAUUUAGUUGGCCAGUUGUUGCGGUUUCAGAAGGAGUGGCUGACAUGGGCGUUGAAACAAGAAGAAUCAGUUUCUAGAGGGGGAAUCCUUGCAGAUGAGAUGGGAAUGGGAAAAACUGUUCAGGCAAUUGCACUUGUGCUUGCUAAAAGGGAACUUCGCCGAGCAAUUAAAGGAACUGAAGCAUCCUUGUUGUCACCCGGGUCAUCCUCCGUGUUGCCUGAAUUAAGUUGUACCCUUGUCAUUUGCCCUGCAUCCGCUCUACAUCAGUGGAAAAGGGAGAUUGAGCGAUUUACCCGAGAGGGAAGAACAAAAGUUCUGUGUUAUCAAGGGGCCAAGAGAGCAAAGAAUGCUCUACAAUUUUUUGGGAACGAUUUUAUAAUCACCACUUAUAACACAAUAGAGGCCGAUUAUCGCAAAGUGUUGCCACCCAAGCAGAAGUGUGAAUGGUGUGGUAAGUGUUUUUAUGAACGAAGGAUGGCUGUUCAUCUUAGAUAUUAUUGUGGGCCUAAUGCAAUUAGAACAGAGAAGCAGUCUAAGCAAAACAGGAAGGCAAAGAAAUCUCACUUGAAAGUAUCCAAAAAAUGUGCUGAAGAUGAUAUCAGUAAAAUAAAUGAUAAUAAGCUGGAGGCAGCUCAAAAGAACAUUGGUAACUUGCACGAUCCCUUAGAAGAAUCAGGUAGUCAAUCUGAACAAGAAGAUCUUGGCGAUGUUGACGCGAAUGUUCAUAAGUCCACUCUGCACUCUGUAAAAUGGGAACGCAUUGUAUUGGAUGAGGCCCACUCCAUCAAAGAUAGACGUAGCAAUACUGCUAGGGCAGUUCUUGCAUUGCAGUCUUCAUACAAAUGGGCUUUGAGCGGUACCCCCCUUCAGAAUCGUGUUGGAGAACUCUAUUCACUGAUCCGCUUUUUGCGAAUUGUUCCUUUUUCCUAUUAUAUGUGCAAGGAUUGUGAUUGCAGAACACUUGAUUACGGCUUUUCAGGCGAAUGUAAAAGUUGCGUUCACAAAUCUGUGAGGCAUUUUUGCUGGUGGAACAAAAAUGUGGCGACGCCAAUACAAUCGAAUGGCAAUUCUGGGGAUGGACAAAGAGCCAUGUUUUUGCUGAAGAACAAAAUUCUCAAGAGCAUUUUGCUGAGACGUACCAAAAGUGGCAGGGCUACGGACCUUGCUCUUCCUUCAAAAAUUGUGUCAUUGAGGCGAGAUUCUUUGGAUAUCAGAGAAGAAGACUAUUAUCAGUCACUGUACAAUGAAAGUCAAGCUCAAUUUAAUACAUAUGUUAAGGCAGGCACCCUGAUGAAUAAUUAUGCUCAUAUAUUUGACCUACUUACACGUCUGCGGCAGGCGGUUGACCAUCCAUAUCUCGUGAUAUAUUCUCGCGCCAAUUGUUUAAGGAAUGAAAAUGUUGCAGAAGAUGACAAUGGCGAACAAAUUUGUGGCAUUUGUCAUGAUCCAGCUGAGGAUCCUACGGUUACAUCAUGUGGACAUCAUUUUUGUAGAAUCUGCCUCAUCGAUUUUUCAUCUUCUGCGAGCCAAUCUUCAUGCCCGUCUUGUUCGAAACCACUUACUGCUGAUUUUACUUCAAACUUAAGCAUCAGAGGUCAGAGAUCAAAAACAUCUGUUAAUGGGUUUAAACGCUCAAGCAUCAUGAACAGGAUCCAACUUGAUGACUUUCAGACAAGCACAAAGAUAGAUGCAUUGAGGGAGGAAAUCAGAUCUAUGAUUGAGAGAGAUGGUUCUGCCAAAGGGAUUGUCUUUAGCCAGUUCACAUCAUUUUUAGAUUUGAUCAUGUAUUCUUUGAAGAAGUCUGGUAUAACUUGUGUCCUACUGGAUGGAUCUAUGACCAUCACUGCGAGAGAUAAUGCAAUUAAAAGAUUCCACGAGGACUCUGACUGCAGAAUUUUCCUCAUUAGUUUGAAGGCUGGAGGUGUUGCACUCAACCUUACAGUGGCUUCACACGUAUAUUUAAUGGAUCCUUGGUGGAAUCCGGCAACAGAGCGACAAGCCAUGGAUAGGAUACACAGAAUUGGGCAAUAUAAGCCAAUUAGAAUUGUGAGAUUCCUUAUAGAGAAUACUGUAGAGGAAAGAAUUUUGAAGCUCCAAGAGAAAAAAGAACUAGUUUUCGAAGGGACAGUUGGAGGAUCUUCAGCUGCCCUGGCUAAAUUAACUGAAGCAGACUUGAGAUUUCUUUUUCACACCUGAAAUAAUGGAAAUGGGGUGAAAGUAGUACUAGUUCUGGAAGAAUCUUAACAUCAAAGUUUCCCAAGCUGUGUAAAUUAAAGAAAUUUGCCAUCCGAAGCUCUGAUACAACACUCAAUCCACAAAGGUGUACUACAAGUGUGAUCCUUGCAACAAUCUGGGAUGGUGCAAGAGAGUAGUUGAGCAAGAAAACAGGGGGCAACAGCAUGAAGGACAAUACAGGGGAAGCUUAGACAAAGGAGAAAGUACUGAAAACAGGAGAAACAGUAUGAUGCAAUAUGACUUGAAGCAAAUGAAGAAAAAGCUGAUACUGUAAUAUCAAUACAAGGCAUCUUACUUUGAUUUUGAAAUGAAGAAAGGCUAAUCCUAUUUAUGUCAUGGUUUGGGAUGGACAUGCAGAACUUAUGACUCAAGAGAGCAUGCAAGUACUUUUAGCAAAAUAAAGUUAAGGACUUCAGAGAACUCUUAGCGAGGAAAUUGGGAGGCAACCAACAUAUGAAAGAAGUCUGAGGGCAGAGUCUUAUUAUUGGUAUAGAGUUGGAUGAACAAGUUGGCCCGCUAGUUGAUGCUUGUCGAAAUUCAGGAAUGUUAAAUUGUUAAUAUUAACUGCUGGAAAAGAAAAAUUAGUGAGAUUGGUUCCUCCACUGACCAUAUUAGGACAGAAGCUCGAAAUAGGUUCUGAGAUUCUCCUCAAGUGUUUCCCGUCCCUGGGUUGAAGCAGUUGAGUUGAAUUUGUGUACGAGAGUCGAUGCUUGUCAAAUUUCCUUGUGACACCAAUAGAUCCAAAGCUCAUAAUUGGCAUCGUAGUUGUAAAUCAGGAAUAAGUUUUCCUACUAGCUUCUCUUUGGAUUAUGCCUUGGUUUUAUGUACAAAUUGUCAUUUCAAGAUAUCCCACUCG